UACGUAGGGUGCGAGCGUUGUCCGGAAUCAUUGGGCGUAAAGAGCUCGUAGGCGGCCUGUCGCGUCGGAUGUGAAAACCCGGGGCUCAACCGCGGAGGGUCGUGCGAGACGGCCGCGCUGGAGGCAGGGAGAGGCUGGUGGAAUUCCCGGAGUAGUGGUGAAAUGCGUAGAGAUCGGGAGGAACACCGGUGGCGCAGGCGGCCAGCUGGCCCUGACCUGACGCUGAGGCGCGACGGCGUGGGGAGCGAACGGG
rnacentral:rRNA from 1 species